UACAGAGGUCUCAAGCGUUGUUCGGAUUCAUUGGGCGUAAAGGGUGCGAGUAGGCGGCGGGGUAAGUCGGGUGUGAAAUCUCAGGGCUCAACCCUGAAACUGCACUUGAUACUGCUCUGCUUGAGGACUGGAGAGGAGACUGGAAUUCACGGUGUAGCAGUGAAAUGCGUAGAUAUCGUGAGGAAGACCAGUGGCGAAGGCGG
rnacentral:rRNA from 1 species